GCUGGGGCUCCUGACAGGCUCAGAGAAGCAGUUUGCUUUGCGAAGCAGCAGUUUGAACUCCCAGGAUCCUUACAACAUACUGCCGCUAGCCAGCAGCCAGAUCAGGUUCGGGCUGCUGCCUCUCAGCGUGUCAAAUGUGCAGAAAUCCAAGGCAGCUUCCAGAAGCUCUGAAGCUCCUCAGCAGCUGGUGGCUCCUCAGUCCUUCACAGCAGGCAGUGAUGACAGCUUCCGGCCAGGCAGCCUUUUCAGGCAGCUCGCUGAUCAGGAUGAAGACACAGCAGCGACUUCUUUAUUUAAGCUUAACUGGCUCUCUGGGAUGGGCAAAUAAUUCUCAGCUGGCUGCUUUGUUACAGUGACAUGUACAGUAAACACUCCUUUUGUGUGUUGACAAAAUGCCUCCUGUGUGAUGUGUAAAUGUUGUGUAAGCACUGACGUGUGUUGGCUGACUGGUGAUCAGAGCAGCGAUACUCUGGUUGAAUGUGUGCAUACACAAGCAGCAUCGUUCAGGCACUCUGUUCCUGAAAGGAAACUGUGUGUGACAGGGUGGAUGCUUCCUCUGUAGUGCUUUUCUACUCUUCACACUUUCUUUAUGCUCCUUCUACCAAAGUGCUUUUCACAUUCACACACACUCAUACUCUGAUGGAUGCAUCGGAGAGCAGCUUAGGCUGUGGCUGGUUGGUGGGGUAGGCUGUCUUUUUCACUCUGGACUGAAACAUGUUUAACACACUGUGGUUUGUGACAUACAGACUGAUGCAGUCAGCUUCUAUCACAGGAUGUCUCCACAGCUACUUUUGUAUGAGUAUGUGAACAUGCUGACACGAAGCAUUAUCCCUGCAAACACUCCAGCGAUCAGCUGACACAUUCUGUACUGGGUUCUACAUUUUCUCUGGGUGUUAAUAUGUCAGGUUGUAUUUUAUGUAUGUAUUCAGUUCAGAUAGAGAUGUAUGGCUGCCAUGAUGGCAGAAAGCAGGUUGACUUUAUCAUUAUUGCCUCAGAGUAAUCACCAGUGUGAAACACAUUCUGGUGUUUGUGCAGCACUGUGGUGAUUAGUGCUGUCACCUCACAUCAAACAGGUUGUGGGUUUGAAUCCGUGCCUGCAUGGACUCUGAACGUGUGUUAAUCAUGAGUUCUUAUUGGUUGUUGGGUAAGUAUUGUAAUGCUAAAUGUGUCUUGUGGUUAAAUGUUGCUUGUGUCUCUCACCAAAAUAAACUCAGCCAAACCUUCUGACGGU